rnacentral:rRNA from 1 species
AGUACGUGAAACUGCUAAGAGGUUAAGCCCGAUGAACCUGAAUAUCCAUUAUGGAAAAUUCAUCAUUAAUACUAUAAUAUUUAUAAUAUUAUAGAAAUAGUGUGCAAUUUUUCCAUAUAAGGACAUUGUGAUCUGUUAAUGUAUUAAAUAUUUAUCAAAAGAUCUAUUACUUAAGUUUAUUCAAAUUAGUUAUUUUCGGAUUUCUAACAUAAAAUAAAUGUUUUAGAUUUGAUAAAUCAUUGACAGAUUAUAUUAUAUAUAGUGCUUAAAUUUUUCGGAAUUUUGCAAUAUUGAAUAAAUCUAUUGAUUUUUUUAUUUAUUGUAUGCACUUAUAUGAUUAACAAUGCGAUAGAUUCAGGAUACCUUCGGGACCCGUCUUGAAACACGGACCAAGGAGUCUAACAUAUGUGCAAGUCAUUGGGUAUUUUUAAUAAAACCCAAUGGCAUAAUUAACUUAACUGUUAAUAUGGGAUUAGUUUAUAUUUUAUUAUGAAAUAUAAAUUCAAUCCCGGGGCGUUCUAUACAGUUAUGCGUAAUAAUAUUUUGUAUUAUUUAUGCCUCUAACUAGAGC